UACGUAGGUGGCAAGCGUUGUCCGGAUUUACUGGGCGUAAAGAGCGCGCAGGCGGUCGUUCAAGGCGCGUGUGAAAGCCCCCGGCUCAACUGGGGAGGGUCAUUCGAUACUGAUCGACUUGAAGGCAGGAGAGGGAAGUGGAAUUCCCGGUGUAGUGGUGAAAUGCGUAGAUAUCGGGAGGAACACCAGUGGCGAAGGCGACUUCCUGGCCUGUUCUUGACGCUGAGGCGCGAAAGCUAGGGGAGCAAACGGG
rnacentral:rRNA from 1 species